rnacentral:lncRNA from 1 species
UCCCCCACGAGCCUUUCGACUCUUAUUUCUCCUGACCUCUUCAGGAUUUUUAGGGUUCUUGCUUGAAAUGUCUUCUAGCACCUCCGCCUCUAGUGGUUCCAAGAGCUCGUCUGCCUCAGUCCCCCAGAAUCCUCAUAUUGUAGAUGAACCCACAUCUAGGGCUAGGCCUCAUCUGAUUUUUGCACCGGACGCCAUUCCCUGUUCUCUGACUCUGGAUGAACUUUUACUGAUAAAGGUUCAGUAAGGAGUUCCUCCGGAGUAUGAGC